rnacentral:rRNA from 1 species
GUGUCAGCCGCCGCGGUAAUACGGAGGGUGCAAGCGUUAUCCGGAUUCAUUGGGUUUAAAGGGUGCGCAGGCGGAUACUUAAGUCAGUGGUGAAAUCCCGGGGCUCAACCCCGGAACUGCCGUUGAUACUGAAUAUCUGGAAUACGGUUGAAGUGGGCGGAAUGUAGCAUGUAGCGGUGAAAUGCAUAGAGAUGCUACAGAACACCGAUCGCGAAGGCAGCUCACUAAGCCGAUAUUGACGCUCAGGCACGAAAGCGUGGGGAGCGAACAGGAUUAGAUACCCUGGUAGUCCACGCCGUAAACGAUGAUAACUCGUUGUUGGCGACACACAGUCAGCGACUAAGCGAAAGCGAUAAGUUAUCCACCUGGGGAGUACGAUCGCAAGGUUGAAACUCAAAGGAAUUGACGG